rnacentral:rRNA from 1 species
UACGUAGGUGGCGAGCGUUGUCCGGAUUUACUGGGCGUAAAGAGCGCGCAGGCGGUCGUACAAGUCGCGUGUGAAAGCCCCCGGCUCAACUGGGGAGGGUCACUCGAUACUGAUCGACUUGAAGGCAGGAGAGGGAAGCGGAAUUCCCGGUGUAGUGGUGAAAUGCGUAGAUAUCGGGAGGAACACCAGUGGCGAAGGCGGCUUCCUGGCCUGCUCUUGACGCUGAGGCGCGAAAGCUAGGGUAGCAAACGGG